rnacentral:rRNA from 1 species
UACAGAGGUCUCAAGCGUUGUUCGGAUUCAUUGGGCGUAAAGGGUGCGUAGGUGGCGGGGCAAGUCUGGUGUGAAAUCCCGGGGCUCAACCCCGGAACUGCACUGGAUACUGCUUUGCUAGAGCACUGGAGAGGGAACUGGAAUUUACGGUGUAGCAGUGAAAUGCGUAGAUAUCGUAAGGAAGACCAGUGGCGAAGGCGAGUUCCUGGACAGUUGCUGACACUGAGGCACGAAGGCUAGGGGAGCAAACGGGAUUAGAAACCCUUGUAGUCCUACAAGGGGUAGCAAACAGG